rnacentral:lncRNA from 1 species
GGGAGUCUGAGCGGCGGCAGCUUUUGUCUCUGUACGCUGCCGUCCUCCUUCCUCCCUCUCAAACUUUUGGGCGCUCUCUCGGAACUGUAUUUAUAGACCUGGAGCCCAGAGCUGUAUUUUUUUUCCCUUGUGCCUCCUUUGGCUUGGGCUUAAAUCACUGGCAGGGAAAGUAAAAAGGAGGGAGGCAGGCAGGCAGACAAACAGGAGGACAGAAGGGGAAAGAGCUGAAGUCCCGCAGGCGGGACCCGGAGGGAGGCUGGGGCGGCGGGCAGCGGUGCAGCGCUCCCCGUGCUUCUGGCGGACGAGACAGCCUCUAAUCUUCGAAGUGGAUGUCAAAGCAGUUUCCGACAUCUUUAGAGAGCACGUCCUGCAGGGUUUUCUGUUACCUCCAAGAGCGUCUUCAUGUACAAAGCCCUCCGUGGCCAGUGGCCAGCGACUUAAAUGAAGUCAAGUCCCUACUGUGUCCUAAGUAAGACUACUAUCAAUGCCUUGGGAAAGCAAGGAGGGUCAAGGAGGAUUGAGCUAAGGAGUACUUAAGCAAGUGGGACAUACACAAGUCCAUGGGGCCAGACAGAAUGCAUCUCAGAAUGUUGUGGGAGCUGGCUGGUGUCCCUGUGAGACAUUCUGUACCAUAUUCAAAGCGUCAUGGUGUUUUGGAGAGGUUUCUGAUGACUUGAAGCAGGUAAAGGACACACAGCCUUGUUCAUAAAAGGCAAGAAGGUGGGUCUAGGGAACAUCAGGCCGGUCAGCCCCACCUCGUUCUCUGGUAAGAUUAUGAUGCGAAGCCUCCUGGAAGCCAUGUCUAUGUGAAUGAAGGAGAAUAAAGUGAUUUGGGGCAUGGAUUCAGCAAGGGCAAAUCAUACCUCACCAACUGGAUUGCCUUCUGUAACAUCCCAUGUAGGCAAAAGGAGAGCAGUGAAUACUGUUUAUCUGAGCUUAGUAAGGCCUUCAGAACAAUCUCUUGUAGCACAUUUAUAGCCAGACUGAUGAGAUACAGACAGUACAGCCAAACUAUAUAGCAGAUGGAAAACUUUCUGGACUGCUAGGCUCAUAGGGCAGUCAUCGGCAUUAUGAAACCUGUUGCUGGAAACCUGCGGCAUUGUGCAGAUACCAGUCUGGAGCUAGAAGUGCUUAAAGCAAUCUUUCGCUUGCAAAUGUUUUGAUUAUCAAACUUUUGAUUGUGAAUAAACAGCAAUAUUUUCUC